GAGGGUGUAGCUCAGUGGUAGAGCACAUGCUUAGAAUGCACAACAUCCUGGGCUUUAUCCCCAGUACCUCCA
rnacentral:tRNA from 1 species